GUUCACCCAACACUGACGCAUUCCGACGACCAUCAUAUCACUCGACGCAGAGAAGGCAUUUGAUCGCCUUCUCUGGCCUUUCUUAUUUCAAACCCUCAAGCACUUUGGCUUCCCCCCCAACUCAUAACAUUCCUUGAGACCACUUACCGCCUAUCAUGGGGAGCUCUCCUGCUGUCCAACAUUACACCAUCCCACUUCACAAUCAUGAACGGAACCAGGCAGGGAUGCCCACCAUCCCUCUCCUAUUUGCUCUGUCCCAGGAGCCAUUGUUGGAGGCAAUCCGUUCC